AACGAACGCUGGCGGCAGGCUUAACACAUGCAAGUCGAGCGAGACCUUCGGGUCUAGCGGCGGACGGGUGAGUAACGCGUGGGAACGUGCCCUUCUCUACGGAAUAGCCCCGGGAAACUGGGAGUAAUACCGUAUACGCCCUUUGGGGGAAAGAUUUAUCGGAGAAGGAUCGGCCCGCGUUGGAUUAGGUAGUUGGUGGGGUAAUGGCCCACCAAGCCGACGAUCCAUAGCUGGUUUGAGAGGAUGAUCAGCCACACUGGGACUGAGACACGGCCCAGACUCCUACGGGAGGCAGCAGUGGGGAAUCUUAGACAAUGGGGGCAACCCUGAUCUAGCCAUGCCGCGUGAGUGAUGAAGGCCUUAGGGUUGUAAAGCUCUUUCAGCUGGGAAGAUAAUGACGGUACCAGCAGAAGAAGCCCCGGCUAACUCCGUGC
rnacentral:rRNA from 1 species